GCUGGCAAAAGAACUAAAGACACCUGGACAAUUGCAUAGAAAAAUAAGCCAGAUUUGGCUGUUUCCAGGGGAAAUCCUGGAUGGGGACAUUGACCAAAAACUGUUACUAAGUAAGAAACCGCCUAAACUGAACCCAGUUCAUAUAAGCACAGAAUUUCGGCUUUGAGUAACAGCCAAGCAGAGUGGGAGAUCGGAAAGAGCACUGGCCUUGGAAUCUUGGGACCUUAGUCUGAACUCUGGUUUGACUACUUGCUCCCUCUGUGGCCUUAGAACCCGAUGAAUCCAACAAGGCCUUGAAAUCUGGUUGUGGAACACACAUACCCAUGUACAUGCAUACACAAUGCAUCAUUAAUUACCAAUCUGUUAAAAUAGUGAUAAAGAAAUCCCCAGAUUAAUCAACUUUUAAGAUAUAUAGGUCAGUAAUAGUUAAAGAGAUGCAAAUUAAAGCAAUUCUGACACUCCACUUCAUACCCAUCAGAUUAGCAAGGAUAACAACAAAACAAAUGUUGGAGGGACUAUUGAAACAGAGGUCCAUUAACACACCUUUAGGGGACCAUGCUAACUGUGUACUAUGCCAUCCUAUUUGUGAAUGGGUAUAACCAUUCUAGAAAGCAAUUUGGAAUUACCACAAAAUGUCACUAAACAGUAACCUAGAACAAAGUCAACAAAUGGAGGCUGGAACUGCGAUAAAAUGCUUUGGUGCUGUAAGACAUGAGGAAGUAGAAGAUUUCAAAGAGAUACGGGAAGACUUACGUGAACUGAUACACAGUGAAGUGAGCAGACAAAAGAACGAUUUAUAACAAUACAUCCACAUUACAAAAAUGAACAACUUUAGAGACUUUUAUAAAGUGAUGAUGAAUGAAACAAGUAGAACCAGGAGAAUGACUUAUACAAUAACAACAAUGCUGUGAAGACAAACAACUUUGAAAGCUGUAAGAGCUGUGGUGAAUACAGUCAUGAUCCAUGAUUCAAGAGGACAAACAAUGCAACGUGCUACUCACCUCCUGACAGGAGAUGGAUUCAGUGUGCAGAAUCAGACAUGUAUUUUUCGAACAUGACCAAAGGGGGAAAUUUGUUUUGCUUGAGU